rnacentral:rRNA from 1 species
GACGGAGGGUGCUAGCGUUGUUCGGAAUCACUGGGCGUAAAGGGCGCGUAGGCGGCCUUGCAAGUCGGUUGGUGAAAGCCCGGGGCUCAACCCCGGAGGUGCGGCCGAGACUGCAGGGCUGGAGGCCGGAAGAGGAGGGUGGAAUACCCAGUGUAGAGGUGAAAUUCGUAGAUAUUGGGUGGAACACCGGUGGCGAAGGCGGCUCACUGGCCCGGUACUGACGCUGAGGUGCGAAAGCGUGGGGAGCAAACAGG